rfam:Picea glauca, whole genome shotgun sequence.
GGGUGUGAUCAUACUAGUGUUACUGCACUGGAUCCCAUUGGAACUGGCCAGCUAAGCGUGCUUGGGCUAGAGUAGUACUGGGAUGGGUGACCUCCUGGGAAGUCCUAGUGUUGCACCCU